rnacentral:rRNA from 1 species
GAUGAACGCUGGCGGCGUGCCUAAUACAUGCAAGUCGAGCGAACAGACGAGGAGCUUGCUCCUCUGACGUUAGCGGCGGACGGGUGAGUAACACGUGGAUAACCUACCUAUAAGACUGGGAUAACUUCGGGAAACCGGAGCUAAUACCGGAUAAUAUAUUGAACCGCAUGGUUCAAUAGUGAAAGACGGUUUUGCUGUCACUUAUAGAUGGAUCCGCGCCGCAUUAGCUAGUUGGUAAGGUAACGGCUUACCAAGGCAACGAUGCGUAGCCGACCUGAGAGGUGGACGGCCCACCUUGGAACUGAGACAGGUCCAAGCCCCCCGGGGGAGGCGGAAGAGGGGAUUCUCCGGAAAGGGGCGAAACCCGGAGGGAGCACCCCGGGGGGAGUGAAGAAGUUUUGGGUACCUAAAACCUUUUUUUUGGGGAAAAAAAAAAAGUAAAAUAACUUAUGCCUGUCUGGACGUUACAAAAAAAAAAACCCCCGGCAAACCCCGUG